CGGAGACGGACAUGGAGAGCUUUCUGUGAAGCCGGGCUGUAAGGCAUCCGGUGGAGAGAUCAGAAGCGAGAAUGUUGACAUGAGUAGCGACAAACAGGGUGAGAAACCCUGUCGCCGAAAGUCCAAGGGUUCCUGCUUAAAGCUAAUCUGAGCAGGGUAAGCCGGCCCCUAAGGCGAGGCCGAAAGGCGUAGUCGAUGGGAACCAGGUUAAUAUUCCUGGGCCAGUGGGAUGUGACGGAUCGCAGAUGUAGUUUGCCCUUAUCGGAUUGGGUGGGCUGCUGAGCGGUUCCUGGAAAUAGCCCCACAUCAGACCGUACCCUAAACCGACACAGGUGGACUGGUAGAGUAUACCAAGGCGCUUGAGAGAACCACGUUAAAGGAACUCGGCAAAAUGCCUCCGUAAGUUCGCGAGAAGGAGGCCCCAUAUGUGCGCAAGCAUGUGUGGGGGGCACAAACUAGGGGGUGGCGACUGUUUACUUAAAACACAGGGCUGUGCGAAGCCGUAAGGCGACGUAUACAGUCUGACGCCUGCCCGGUGCUGGAAGAUUAAGAGGAGGGGUGCAAGCUCUGAAUUGAAGUCCCAGUAAACGGCGGCCGUAACUAUAACGGUCCUAAGGUAGCGAAAUUCCUUGUCGGGUAAGUUCCGACCUGCACGAAUGGCGUAACGAUCUCCCCGCUGUCUCUAACGUGGACUCAGCGAAAUUGAACUGUGUGUCAAGAUGCACACUACCCGCGGUUAGACGGAAAGACCCCAUGAACCUUUACUCCAGCUUUGCACUGGUAUCAGGAUUGUGAUGUGCAGGAUAGGUGGUAGGCAUUGAAGCGGGGACGCCAGUCUUCGUGGAGCCUCCCUUGAGAUACCACCCUUCGCCGUCUUGUUGUCUAACCGCGACCCGUUAUCCGGGCCCGGGACCGUGCAUGGUGGGGAGUUUGACUGGGGCGGUCGCCUCCCAAAUUGUAACGGAGGCGCGCGAUGGUUGGCUCAGACCGGUCGGAAAUCGGUCGUUGAGUGCAAUGGCAGAAGCCAGCCUGACUGCAAGACUGACAAGUCGAGCAGAGACGAAAGUCGGUCAUAGUGAUCCGGUGGUCCCAAGUGGGAGGGCCAUCGCUCAACGGAUAAAAGGUACUCUGGGGAUAACAGGCUGAUGAUGCCCAAGAGUCCAUAUCGACGGCAUCGUUUGGCACCUCGAUGUCGGCUCAUCUCAUCCUGGGGCUGGAGCAGGUCCCAAGGGUACGGCUGUUCGCCGUUUAAAGAGGUACGUGAGCUGGGUUUAGAACGUCGUGAGACAGUUCGGUCCCUAUCUGCCGUGGGUGUAGGAGACUUGAGA
rnacentral:rRNA from 1 species